UUCGGGGUACACGAGUGGCGAACGGGUGAGUAACACGUGAGUAACCUGCCCCGGACUCUGGGAUAAGCAUUCGAAAGGGUGUCUAAUACUGGAUAGGACUCCUGCCUGCAUGGGUGGGGGUGGAAAGAUUUUUUGGUUCGGGAUGGGCUCGCGGCCUAUCAGCUUGUUGGUGGGGUGAUGGCCUACCAAGGCGUCGACGGGUAGCCGGCCUGAGAGGGCGACCGGCCACACUGGGACUGAGAUACGGCCCAGACUCCUACGGGAGGCAGCAGUGGGGAAUAUUGCGCAAUGGGCGGAAGCCUGACGCAGCAACGCCGCGUGCGGGAUGACGGCCUUCGGGUUGUAAACCGCUUUCACCCAUGACGAAAAUUUUUUUGACGGUAGUGGGAGAAGAAGCACCGGCCAACUACGUGCCAGCAGCCGCGGUGAUACGUAGGGUGCGAGCGUUGUCCGGAAUUAUUGGGCGUAAAGAGCUUGUAGGCGGUUUGUCGCGUCGGAAGUGAAAACUCGGGGCUUAACUUCGAGCUUGCUUCCGAUACGGGCUGACUAGAGGAAGUUAGGGGAGAACGGAAUUCCUGGUGGAGCGGUGGAAUGCGCAAAUNUCAGGAGGAACACCGGUGGCGAAGGC
rnacentral:rRNA from 1 species